UACAGAGGGUGCAAACGUUGUUCGGAAUUACUGGGCGUAAAGCGCGUGUAGGCGGCCCUGUAAGUCGGGUGUGAAAUCCCACGGCUCAACCGUGGAGGUGCAUUCGAAACUACAGGGCUAGAGUUCUGGAGAGGAAGGUGGAAUGCUUGGUGUAGAGGUGAAAUUCGUAGAUAUCAAGCGGAACACCGGUGGCGAAGGCGGCCUUCUGGACAGUAACUGACGCUGAGACGCGAAAGCGUGGGGAGCAAACAGG
rnacentral:rRNA from 1 species